GAGGUCUGCUCUUUAAAAAGCAGCUCCCAUCCUUCCGGCCCCUCUGUUUAGCCUCAGCUUUGAGCGUUAGCUUUUAAAUACAGUGCGGUUGCUGCUGCACAGGGCGGAGCUGGGCUCUCGGCCGCGUUGGGGGGGCCCCCGGAUCAUCUUCCUCAGAUCUGCUUUGUAAUUAAAUAUCCCCCCGCAGCAGCACAGGGGCCGCGUACAGAAGGGAAGAGCCGCUGCCCUGCCAAUCGUCUCCUCCUGGACGGAGGGGACGUUUGAUAUGUGAGUGCUGACGUCAGCGCGCCUCCUGCCCGUCUCCGGUCAGCAUCGGCUUGUGUGCAGCGGUGUUCUCACGAGGGCUCUCUGGUGCAGCGCUUCGAAUCCUCUGGAACAAAUGUUGUAUCUUGGCAGUGGUGUAGAGGAUAAUGAAUACCGACAGUCUCCCCAACGUCUCCGAUGCAGAGACGCCGUGGCGACUGGCUCCGCCCCCUCACUGUCAAAAAAGAACAACAGCGAGCGCGCAGAAAACACCUUCGAGCGCGAUCAGAAAUCAGCCUCGCGAUCAGAUCCCAGCGUUGGAGGAAGAGAAACCAAACAAGGGAGCGUGUGAGGAGACACGGGGAGGAGGAGGAGGAGGAGGAGGAGGAGGAUCUCGUCCAUCAGGAUCAGGAGGCUGGCGCGUUGUGACUCGCGGGUCAACGAGGCGGCGGAGGACGACCUCGUUAACGCAGAAGACGGAUAAGAGAGAUGCCAUUUAAUCAGCUGUGUUUUAUAGAAGUCUUCAAAUCAACAGCUAAGCUAAAUGCUAACACGGCAUGCUGCUGACCCUCGACCCCGUAAACUCCACCAGCACCUCACUGUAUCACGCGGGGUGUCAUCACACUGUAGGCCACUUUAUCUGUGGGUGACUCACACUGUUACGAAGCCCUGUGUGUGAGUCAUUAUGUAAGCCGCACACACACAAGCACACACACACAGACACACACACAGACAAUCGGUCAUGUAUUGUAUAUGUUUAUGUAAAAUGUCCUGACACGCACGACAUGUGGUGUGAUGGAAUGUGUGUAGCUGCUGUGUAUAAACAACCUCUCUCUCUCUCUCUCUCUCUCUCUCUCCGAGUCGUGUUUCUCUUCUGCUUAGUCAGCGGUGUUCCAUCCGGAGGCGGGGCGGAAGUGCCGACAUGUGUUUCUAAUCCGCCGCAGGCCACAGCCAAUCAGCCGGCUCUGAUCAUUUCAAAGGCUCCGACACAGUAAACACACACAGACACACACACGCACACACACGGAGCUAUUGGCCCUGCAGCUUGUAUCACUCGUCUCCUGCGUGGAGGGCGGAGCAGCGUCGCGUCAAUCAGACAUCAAAGAGCAGCGGCCGCUCGGUUUCUCCUUCCGCCUCUGGGUCUCUGACGUGGGCCGACCGAUAGGCCGCCGGGUCGAUGACCUCCGACCCCGUGUUUCCUGCCCACCGAUCGACUUCUGUUUAACAGAUUUUUCUCGGAUCGGAUGAUGUCAACAACGAUGCGUUGAAAGCCCUUCUGUGCGUGUAGAUCUUCGGACUCUGUAAGAAACAAAUCAAAAAGACAGUUUCACCCGUACGACUAUUUACAUUUUAUUGAUCGUCCUGGUUGUGCAGAGGAUGCACGUGUCGACGGCGGUUGGAGAAGCGGAGUGGGUGGUGUGCAGGAGUUGCCUGGUGCUCCUGCUGUUAUGAAACUGCCGUUGAACCAAACCGCCGCUGAAUUUUCAUCGUCGUCACACAUCAAAGGCUCUUCCAUUACGGCCGCUGCUGAAAUACGACUUUCCUUCCCCUCCCACACUCCAUCCAUGCAUACCUAUGUGCCCGCUCCCACUAUUAACCGCGGUGCGAGCGUUGCUGUGUGUGUGUGUGUGAUUGUGUGUUGCGUAGCCCCUGGCUGUGACUGCAUAAGCAUUCCAGCUCUCUGGUUUUUCUGAACAUCGGUGGCUCUUUUUCCUCUUUCCUGUGCUGUGUAAGAGCUGAAGCCCACACAGCCGAGCCGGGGGCCCCG